rnacentral:misc_RNA from 1 species
GAUGAAGAACGUAGCGAAAUGCGAUAAGUAAUGUGAAUUGCAGAAUUCAGUGAAUCAUCGAAUCUUUGAACGCAUCUUGCGCUCCUUGGUAUUCCGAGGAGCAUGCCUGUUUGAGUGUCAUGAAAUUCUCAACCUUUUCAGCUUUCUUUGUUGAUCAGGCUUGGAUGUGGGAGUAUGCGGGCUUCUCAGAAGUCGGCUCUCCUGAAAUGCAUUAGCGGGACCUUUGUUGCCUGGCUUUGGUGUGAUAAUUAUCUACGCCAUUGUAGUCAAGGAGCUUAAAAUGAGGUUUCAGCUUCUAACCGUCUCCCCUGAGACAACUUUUUGACAAUUUGACCUCAAAUCAGGUAGGACUACCCGCUGAACUUAAGCAUAUCAAUAAGCGGAGGA